rnacentral:rRNA from 1 species
AUGAGGAAGACGAUGCAUGUGUUUGAAGAGAUUGGAGGGAAGGAUCCCACAUUACAUACAGAGUUCAAGCUGAUAACGAUGGCAAGAUUGACAACCUCAGUACACAUUUCUUGGAAGCUGAUAACUAGCGGCAGCAGUAGGCUUCAGUACAUAUUUCUUGGAGAUGUCAUAACAUUUGAUACCACGUAUAAGAUAAACCUGUACGACAUGCCUUUCGGGUUGUUUCUUGGUGUUAACAAUCAUUUCCAGAGUACCAUAUUGGCUGGAGUUCUUGUUUGCGAUGAGACAGCGAAGAGUUUGGAGUGGGUUUUCACCGAAUUUCAGAGAAUGAUGGGUGAUGAUCCACCGGUGACCAUACUUAUAGGUAAAUUCGUCACAUAUUGUCAUGUCAUUGCUGCUUAUGUUGAAAUAUUUAACAGGCAAGAAAGCAACCAUAGGAAGCUAAAGUUUCGGCUUCGCUUUAUGCAAACCAGAACCAAGCCAUGGAGCUAG